GGCAGGACGACCGGGCCUGGUGAAAAAUUCGAUAUUCUGAAGUCGCCCAAACAAAAAAAUGAAAAAUGGCUCCAUAGCGCCCCCUAUGGUGAAAACUCACCUGACGCCUGUACGCUUUGUCAAAAUGACACAAAAUUUGACACACAUGUGUAUCUCAAUAACAUCUACAAAAAAGUCAGUGUGGGCGUAUCUGUCAAAUGUACCGUUAAAGGGCUAUUUCGCAUUUUUUGCCGAUCCGCACACAUUGGAAUUUCGCUAACUCCUCCGAAGGCUUUCGUUCCACCAGCAACAAAUUUGCUCAGGACAAUCUACACCCCAUGGCCAUUAAAAGUUGUACAAAUCAUGACGCUGCACCCCACGGUUUACAUUCUAGGGGGCGCCAAAGAUAACCCAAAAAUCCACAGUCUUAAAAGUCUUAUAACUUUUUAUUUUUGUCCUCACUGGCCUCCAAGUUUUCUAGGAUGAUGCAAUGUCCAGCCAUCAACACAUUUGUGAAGAAAUUUUUACUCCCCAAAAGAGCGCCCCCCAUGGCAGGAGAAAAAAGUCCAUUUUUUCUUGUCCCGUAAGGUGAAAAUACACAUUGUUGAGUGUCACGCCUGAACGCUUUGUCAUAUUGACACAAAAUUUGACACACACGUGUAUCUCAAUAAGAUCUACGAAAAAGUCAGAGAGCACGUAUCUGUAUAAUGUACGGUUAAAGGGCUAUUUCGCAUUUUUUGCCGAUCCGCACACAUUGGAAUUUCGCUAACUCCUCCGAAGGCUUUCGUUCCACCGGCACCAAAUUUGCUCAGGCCAAUCUACACCCCAUGGCCAUUAAAAGUUGUACAAAUCAUGACGCUGCACCCCACGGUUUAGGUUCUAGGGGGCGCCAAAGAUAACCCAAAAAUCCACAUUCUUAAAAGUCUUAUAACUUUUUCUUUUUGUCCUCACUGGCCUCCAAGUUUUCUAGGAUGAUGCAAUGUCCAGCCAUCAACACAUUUGUGAAGGAAUUUUUACUCCCCAAAAGAGCGCCCCCCAUGGCAGGAGAAAAAAGUCAAUUUUUUCUUGUCCCGUAAGGUGAAAAUUCACAUUGUUGAGUGUGACGCCUGUACGCUUUGUCAUAUUGACACAAAAUUUGACAAUCACAUGUAUCUCAAUAAGAUCUACGAAAAAGUCAAUGGGUGCGUAUCUGUAAAAACUACGGUUAAAGGGCUAUUUUGCAUUUUUUGCCGAUUCGCACACAUUGGAAUGUGGCUAACUCCUCCUAAGGCUUUCGUCCCACUGACACCAAAUUUGCUCAGGCCAAUCUACACCCCAUGGCCAUUCAAAGUUGUAAAGAUCAUGACGCUGCACCCCACGGUUUACGUUCUAGGGGGCGCCAAAGAUGACCCAAAUAUCCACAUUCUUAAAAGAAUCCACAUCCCCCCAUCCCCCAUCCCCCAUGGCAGGAGAAACAGUCAAGUUUUUCCUGCCCAUCACUCAAUGGCUCAAUCGCAUCACUCUCCCGGCAACACCGUAACGAGGAGCAACUUGCCGUUUGGAUAUAUCCUAGCUGUGUUUGUGCCCUCACUCAUGGUCCAGACUUUUUUCAAAUAGGACAUGUAAUUUGUCUGCAGCGAGUGUUUUGGUAGAAACUGCGCCCCCCAUUCAUUAUAAUGGGAAAUGACCACAGACAAGUGCGCACACCAUCUUUGGACCUUGAGUGUGACGCGAUCGGGAGGGGGAGGCGGUCGCGCUGGGGGCGGCGCAACGCGGCUCGGGCCCGACAGUGCCCCACCGGGGUCCUAGUUUGUUAGGGCCCGAGCGUAGCUGCUAAGCAGCUGCGAGAGCCCUAUUAUUCCCCAAGUGGUUUUUCUUUGUUUCUUUCUUAGGGCCCGAGCGUAGCUGCUAAGCAGCUGCGAGAGCCCUAUUAUUCCUGAUGGAUUCUUCUUUCUUCUUCUUCUUCUUAUUAUUUUUCUGCCCCUUUGAACUGGAAAAUGGCCCACUUCCCACUGGUGAAAAGUCAUGAAAUUUGGCAGGACGACCGGGCCUGGUGAAAAAUUCGAUAUUCUGAAGUCGCCCAAAAAAUCAAAUGCAAAAUGGCUCCAUAGCGCCCCCUAAGGUGAAAAAUUCACAUGAUUGAGUGUCACGCCUGUACGCUUUGUCAAAAUGACACAAAAUUUGACACACACGUGUAUCUCAAUAAGAUCUACAAAAAAGUCAGUGCGGGCGUAUCUGUCAAAUGUACGGUUAAAGGGCUAUUUCGCAUUUUUUGCUGAUCCGCACACAUUGGAAUUUCGCUAACUCCUCCGAAGGCUUUCGUUCCACCGGCACCAAAUUUGCUCAGGCCAAUCUACACCCCAUGGCCAUUAAAAGUUGUACAAAUCAUGACGCUGCAUCCCACGGUUUACGUUCUAGGGGGUGCCAAAGAUAACGCAAAAAUCCACAUUCUUAAAAGUCGUAUAACUUUUUAUUUUUGUCCUCACUGGCCUCCAAGUUUUCUAGGAUGAUGCAAUGUCCAGCCAUCAACACAUUUGUGAAGGAAUUUUUACUCCCCAAAAGAGCGCCCCCCCAUGGCAGGAGAAAAAAGUCCAUUUUUUCUUGUCUCCUAAGGCGAAAAUUCACACUAUUGACUGUCACGCCUUUACGCUUUGUCAUAUUGACACAAAAAUUGACACACACAUGUAUCUCAAUAAGAUCUACAAAAAAGUCAGUGCGGGCGUAUCUGUCAAAUGUACGGUGAAAGGGCUAUUUCGCAUUUUUUGCCGAUCCGCACACAUUGGAAUUUCGCUAACUCCUCCGAAGGCUUUCGUUCCAAAGGCACCACAUUUGCUGAGGCCAAUCUACACCCCAUGGCCAUUAAAAGUUGUACAAAUCAUGACGCUGCACCCCACGGUUUACGUUCUAGGGGGCGCCAAAGAUAACCCAAAAAUCCACAGUCUUAAAAGUCUUAUAACUUUUUAUUUUUGUCCUCACUGGCCUCCAAGUUCUCUAAGAUGAUGCAAUGUCCAGCCAUCAACACAUUUGUGAAGGAAUUUUUACUCGCCAAAAGAGCGCCAACCCCAUGGCAGGAGAAAAAAGUCCAUUUUUUCUUGUCUCCUAAGGCGAAAAUACACAUUGUUGACUGUCACGCCUUUACGCUUUGUCAAAAUGACACAAAAUUUGACACACACAUGUAUCUCAAUAAGAUCUACAAAAAAGUCAGUGCGGGCGUAUCUGUCAAAUGUACGGUUAAAGGGUUAUUUCGCAUUUUUUGCCGAUCCGCACACAUUGGAAUUUCGCUAACUCCUCCUAAAUCUUUUGUCCCAUCUGCUUCAAAUUUGCUCAGGUCAAUCUACACCCCAUGGCCAUUCAAAGUUGUACAAAUCAUGACGCUGCACCCCACAGUUUACGUUCUAGGGGGCGCCAAACAGGACCCAAAUAUCCACAUUUUUAAAAGUCUUAUAACUUUUUAUUUUUGUCCUCACUGGCCUCCAAGUUCUCUAAGAUGAUGCAAUGUCCAGCCAUCAACA